GAUCAUGGCUCAGGACGAACGCUGGCGGCGUGCUUAACACAUGCAAGUCGAACGAGAAUCUGCUGAAGGAGGAUUCGUCCAACGGAAGCAGAGGAAAGUGGCGGACGGGCGAGUAACGCGUGAGGAACCUGCCUUGAAGAGGGGGACAACAGUUGGAAACGACUGCUAAUACCGCAUGACGCAUAGAGGUCGCAUGAUCUUUAUGCCAAAGAUUUAUCG
rnacentral:rRNA from 1 species